rnacentral:rRNA from 1 species
CAUUGGAGGGCAAGUCUGGUGCCAGCAGCCGCGGUAAUUCCAGCUCCAAUAGCGUAUAUUAACGUUGUUGCAGUUAAAAAGCUCGUAGUUGAAAUGAAGGGUAGUUGUGUAAUGAAUACAUUCGUGUAUUUUGUUAUUCUACUACCCUCCUUCUAAAUUCGAUAUAUGAGUAUUAAUUUACUUGUAUAUGGUUUUAGACGUUUACUGUGAGAAAAUUAGAGUGUUCAAAGCAGGCAUUUGCUUGAAUAUAUUAGCAUGGAAUAAUCAUGUAUGAUUUUCAUGAUGUAUUUGAUUGGUUUGGUUCAUGAGAAUAAGAUUAAAAGGGACAGUUGGGGGUAUUCAUAUUCAAUAGUCAGAGGUGAAAUUCUCGGAUUUAUGGAAGAUGAACAAGUGCGAA